UACGGAGACUGCGAGCGUUACUCGGAUUUACUGGGCGUAAAGGGUCCGUAGGCGGCCAUGUGUGUCGGGUGUGAAAUCCUGCAGCUUAACUGUAGACUUGCGCCCGAAACUACAUGGCUAGAGUAUUGGAGAGGUGAGUGGAAUUCCUGGUGUAGCGGUGAAAUGCGUAGAUAUCAGGAGGAACACCAACGGCGAAGGUAGCUCACUGGACAAUUACUGACGCUGAGGGACGAAAGUGUGGGGAGCAAAAGGGG
rnacentral:rRNA from 1 species